AUUGAACGCUGGCGGCAGGCCUAACACAUGCAAGUCGAGCGGAUGAAGGGAGCUUGCUCCUGGAUUCAGCGGCGGACGGGUGAGUAAUGCCUAGGAAUCUGCCUGGUAGUGGGGGAUAACGUCCGGAAACGGGCGCUAAUACCGCAUACGUCCUGAGGGAGAAAGUGGGGGAUCUUCGGACCUCACGCUAUCAGAUGAGCCUAGGUCGGAUUAGCUAGUUGGUGGGGUAAAGGCCUACCAAGGUGACGAUCCGUAACUGGUCUGAGAGGAUGAUCAGUCACACUGGAACUGAGACACGGUCCAGACUCCUACGGGAGGCAGCAGUGGGGAAUAUUGGACAAUGGGCGAAAGCCUGAUACAGCCAUGCCGCGUGUGUGAAGAAGGUCUUCGGAUUGUAAAGCACUUUAAGUUGGGAGGAAGGGCAGUAAGUUAAUACCUUGCUGUUUUGACGUUACCAACAGAAUAAGCACCGGCUAACUUCGUG
rnacentral:rRNA from 1 species